CCCCAGAGCUUCUUUCUCCGUCCAGCAGACCCCCUCUUCUUUAGCAGAUGGAGAGUAUUUUAGUAAACUCAUGCUCAGAGAGGUUGGCAAGUUAGUUAGCCUGAGCGACUAGGCUGUUUUAGCUACCCAGCUAGCUAUAGCAACGUAAAUAUGAAAUGAAAGGGGGUAACUAGCUAACUUUACGACGAAAGAAGUGUUUUUAAAACACAGUGGCUAAUAUAGAACGAAAUGAUCUAAAGAUAUCAAAUGCUUCGGCUAUGUUGGCUAGCAAGCUACCGUGGUGGCUGACUAGCUGCUGUUGUUGUUGAAGAAGCGUCCGGUUAACUGGAUUGUACGUCACACUGGUAGCGUCGGCUGAAAGACGCAUAUCGCCUUCUGCCGACUGGAGUUGGUACUGCUGACUGAAUUAGGACCUGAGCCCUAGGACAAUGCCUCAGGACUACCUGGCCUGAUGACUCCUUGCUGUCCCCAGUCCACCUGGUCGUGCUGCUGCUCCAGUUUGAACUGUUCUGCCUGCGGCUACGGAACCCUGACCUGUUCACCGGAAGUGCUACCUUGUCCCGGACUUGCUGUUGUCGACUCUCUCUCUACCUGUCUCUAACUCUGACUGAUCAGCUAUGGAAAGCCAACUGACAUUUACUCCUGAGGUGCUGACCUGUUGCACCCUCUACAGUCUGCGAUUAUUAUUAUUUGACCCUGCUGGUCAUCUAUGAACGUUUGAACAUCUUGGCCAUGUACUGUUAUAAUCUCCACCCGGCACAGCCAGAAGAGGACUGGCCACCCCUCAGAACCUGGUUCCUCUCUAGGUUUCUUCCAAGGUUCCUUUCUAGGGAGUUUUUCCUAGCCACCAUGCUUCUACAUCUGCAUUGCUUGAUGUUUGGGGUUUUAGGCUGAGUUUCUGUAGAGCACUUUGUGACAUCGGCUGAUGUAAAAAGGGCUUCAUAAAUACAUUUGAUUGAUUGAUUGUUGGGUAGCAUUUCCCCUUUGCCAAGAUAAUCCAUCCAUCUGACAGGUGUGGCAUAUCAAGAAGCUGAUUAAACAGAAUAAUCAUUACACAGGUGCACCUUGUGAUGUGGAUAAUAAACAGCCACUUUAAACUGUGCAGUAUUUUCACACUCAAAACAAUGCCAAAGUUGUUUCAAGUUGAGGGAGCGUGCAAUUGACAUGCUGACUGCAGGAAUGUCCACCAGAGCUGUUGCCAGAGAAUUGAUGUUAAUUUCUCUACCAUAAGCCGCCUCCAACAAUAGCUGCACCCCUGCCCAGUCAUGUGAAAUCCAUAGAUUAGGGCCCCAUUUAUUUUAAUUGACUGAUUUCCUUAUAUGAAUUGUAACUCAGUAAAAUCAUUAACAUUU